ensembl:snRNA U4 U4 spliceosomal RNA
AGCUUUUCACAGUGGAAGUAUUGUAGCCAAAGAAUUUAUCCGAGGCAUGAUUAUUGCUGAUAGAAAAGUUUUCCCAAUACCCUGCCAUGACGACUGGAAAUAUAGUCGGCAUUGGCAAUUUUUGACAGUUUCUACGGGGA